CUACGGGGUGCAGCAGUCAAGAAUUUUCCUCAAUGGCCGAAAGGCUGAAGGAGCGACGCCGCGUGUCUGAAGACGCUCUUCGGAGUGUAAAGGACUUUUAUUAGGGACGAAUCAAUGACGGUACCUAAUGAAUAAGGGGCUGCUAACCUCGUGCCAGCAGCAGCGGUAAUACGAGGGCCCCAAGCAUUAUCCGGAUUUAUUGGGCGUAAAGCGUCCGUAGGUUGUUUAUCGCAUCUCCUGUUAAAUCAUCAGGCUUAACUUGGUGGCAGCAGGAGAGAUGGAUAGACUAGAGGAUGGGAGAGGCAAGCGGAAUUGCUGGUGUAGGGGUUAAAUCCGUUAAUAUCAGCAGGAACACCAAAUGCGAAGGCAGCUUGCUAGAACAUACCUAACACUCAAGGACGAAAGCGUGGGGAGCGAAUGGGAUUAGAUACCCUGGUAGUC
rnacentral:rRNA from 1 species